rnacentral:rRNA from 1 species
GAUGAACGCUGGCGGCGUGCCUAAUACAUGCAAGUCGAGCGAAUGGAUUAAGAGCUUGCUCUUAUGAAGUUAGCGGCGGACGGGUGAGUAACACGUGGGUAACCUGCCCAUAAGACUGGGAUAACUCCGGGAAACCGGGGCUAAUACCGGAUAACAUUUUGAACCGCAUGGUUCGAAAUUGAAAGGCGGCUUCGGCUGUCACUUAUGGAUGGACCCGCGUCGCAUUAGCUAGUUGGUGAGGUAACGGCUCACCAAGGCAACGAUGCGUAGCCGACCUGAGAGAGUGAUCGGCCCAACUGGGACUGAGACACGGCCCAGACUCCUACGGGAGGUAGAAGUAGGGAAUCAUCCGCAAUGGACGAAAGUCUGACGGAGCAACGCCGCGUGAGUGAUGAAGGCUUUCGGGUCGUAAAACUCUGUUGUUAGGGAAGAACAAGUGCUAGUUGAAUAAGCUGGCACCUUGACGGUACCUAACCAGAAAGCCACGGCUAACUACGUGCCAGCCGCCGCAGUAA